rnacentral:rRNA from 1 species
UACGGAGGGUGCAAGCGUUAUCCGGAUUCACUGGGCUUAAAGGGUGCGUAGGCGGGUAAGUAAGUCCGUGGUGAAAUCUCUGAGCUUAACUCAGAAACUGCCGUGGAUACUAUUUGCCUUGAAUAUUGUGGAGGUGAGCGGAAUAUGUCAUGUAGCGGUGAAAUGCUUAGAUAUGACAUAGAACACCAAUUGCGUAGGCAGCUCACUACACAAUCAUUGACGCUGAGGCACGAAAGCGUGGGGAUCAAACAGG